rnacentral:rRNA from 1 species
CCUACGGGUGGCAGCAGUGGGGAAUAUUGCACAAUGGGGGAAACCCUGAUGCAGCGACGCCGCGUGAGUGAAGAAGUAUUUCGGUACGUAAAGCUCUAUCAGCAGGGAAGAAAAUGACGGUACCUGACUAAGAAGCCCCGGCUAACUACGUGCCAGCAGCCGCGGUAAUACGUAGGGGGCAAGCGUUAUCCGGAUUUACUGGGUGUAAAGGGAGCGUAGACGGCGAUGCAAGUCAGAAGUGAAAGCCCGGGGCUCAACUCCGGGACUGCUUUUGAAACUGUGUGACUGGAGUGCAGGAGAGGUAAGCGGAAUUCCUGGUGUAGCGGUGAAAUGCGUAGAUAUCAGGAGGAACACCAGUGGCGAAGGCGGCUUACUGGACUGUAACUGACGUUGAGGCUCGAAAGCGUGGGGAGCAAACAGGAUUAGAUACCCGAGUAGUC